rnacentral:rRNA from 1 species
AACGAACGCUGGCGGCAGGCCUAACACAUGCAAGUCGAACGCCGUAGCAAUACGGAGUGGCAGACGGGUGAGUAACACGUGGGAACGUACCCUUCGGUUCGGGAUAACUCAGGGAAACUUGAGCUAAUACCGGAUACGUCCGAGAGGAGAAAGAUUUAUCGCCGAGGGAUCGGCCCGCGUCUGAUUAGCUUGUUGGUGAGGUAACGGCUCACCAAGGCGACGAUCAGUAGCUGGUCGAGAGGAUGAUCAGCCACAUUGGGACUGAGACACGGCCCAAACUCCUACGGGAGGCAGCAGUGGGGAAUAUUGGACAAUGGGCGCAAGCCUGAUCCAGCCAUGCCGCGUGAGUGAUGAAGGCCCUAGGGUUGUAAAGCUCUUUU